UAGGUCUCCUCACCACUCUAGCACUUCCAUUGAACUCAUUGUGCCCGAGGUCUAGAGAAGGUGAGGAAGACCACCCACUAUUUUUGUUCUCUGGUUUUGUAGGUUGUUGAUCAAGAACAAACACAUGGCUGAAACUAGGGACACAUGAGGAGGGAACAACUGAUGACAAAAGUAGGAAGGAGACCUACAACUGCAACUACGACUACAAAGAGUGAAGAGAAGAGGAGCCAGGGAUACUUCAACUACUACAACACCAAAUCAGAUGAAUGUACGUGAUAAUAGUGUGGGAAGAGGUUCCACAUCUGCUAGGUCACUAGUUAGUGUCAAAUAACCAAUACAAGCUUCACAAUCAUCUUCACAGACAUCAUGUGGAUUAAUACCAUCAACAUUUUUAAUAACUAGAUCGUCUGUACAGGUAGCAGCACCUCCAUCAGCACAUAGAGGUUUUUAGCCACCAAGACCUUCAACAAGAUCUUCUCAAGCACCAAGAGCUUCACAUGCACCAAGAGUAUCUAGUA